rnacentral:rRNA from 1 species
UGCAAGUCGAGCGGCAGCGCGGGGCAACCUGGCGGCGAGCGGCGAACGGGUGAGUAAUGCAUCGGAACAUGUCUUGUCGUGGGGGAUAGCCCGGCGAAAGCCGGAUUAAUACCGCAUACGCCCGAGAGGGGAAAGUGGGGGACCGCAAGGCCUCACGCGAUUGGGUUGGCCGAUGUCCGAUUAGCUAGUUGGUGGGGUAAAGGCUCACCAAGGCGAUGAUCGGUAGCUGGUCUGAGAGGAUGAUCAGCCACACUGGGACUGAGACACGGCCCAGACUCCUACGGGAGGCAGCAGUGGGGAAUUUUGGACAAUGGGGGCAACCCUGAUCCAGCCAUUCCGCGUGAGUGAAGAAGGCCUUCGGGUUGUAAAGCUCUUUUGUCCGGAACGAAACGGGUGCGGCUAAUACUCGCGCCUACUGACGGUACCGGAAGAAUAAGCACCGGCUAACUACGUGCCAGCAGCCGCGGUAAUACGUAGGGUGCGAGCGUUAAUCGGAAUUACUGGGCGUAAAGCGUGCGCAGGCGGUUUUGUAAGCCAGAUGUGAAAUCCCCGGGCUUAACCUGGGAAUGGCAUUUGGGACUGCAAGGCUGGAGUGCGGCAGAGGAGACUGGAAUUCCUGGUGUAGCAGUGAAAUGCGUAGAUAUCAGGAGGAAUACCGAUGGCGAAGGCAGGUCUCUGG